rnacentral:rRNA from 1 species
GAUGAACGCUGGCGGCGUGCCUAAUACAUGCAAGUCGAGCGAACAGACGAGGAGCUUGCUCCUCUUACGUUAGCGGCGGACGAGUGAGUAACACGUGGAUAACCUACCUAUAAGACUUGGAUAACUUCGGGAAACCGUAGCUAUGACCGUAUAUUAUAUUGAACCGCAUGGUUCAAUAGUGAAAGACUGGUUUUCUAUCGCUUCUAGGUGUAUCCGCGCCGCAUUGGCUAGUUGGUAAGGUAACGGCUUACCAAGGCAACGAUGCGUAGCCGACCUGAGAGGGUGAUAGGCCACACUGGAACUGAGACACGGUCCAGACUCCUACGGGAGGCAGCAGUAGGGAACCUUCCGCAAUGGGCGAAAGCAUGACGGAGCAACGCCGAGUGAGUGACGACGGUAUUCGGUUCGUAAAACUCUGUUAUUAGGGAAGAACAACUGUGUAAGUAACUAUGCACGUCUUGACGGUACCUAAUCAGAAAGCCACGGCUAACUACGUG